AGACCGCAGCGUUUGUUUUACUGAAACGAGAACCGUCUCUUUCGAACAUGUCCGAUUCGUAAUUAAUCAAAAACCGAAGAGUGAACUAGUAUUUGAAGUAAACCGACUGAAAGCGAAAACUAACUUACUUGUAAAUUGUUCUAAAUGACUUUGUGCUUUGUUGUACGAACCUGAAUUAACCAUGACUAAUUGUAAUUAUUACAUUAAUUAUGACAUAAAAGAACAAUUGUUGAACCGAUUCGCAUGAAUGAGCCGGGUUUCUAGAAGCUCGAGCUCAGAGCCAUUUAAUCACCUGACCUGUUGUGCAAUGACACGCGACCUCAGAGCGCGGGUUCACGCGAUGGGUACGCUUGCAUUUGAUAGGGGCACGCGCUGAAGGUGUCAACAUUACAGGAUUUUAAUUGACUUUUGGAGAUGAGCUGGAGUAUACAAAGGAACCACCAAAUGCUAUCAAGAACUCAUCAGCCCAGACGAUUUGUCCAUGCGUGAUGGAUCUGUAAGAGGAAAUCAUAUUUGCAGUCUACCAUCUGAACUGCCACCGUCAUCAGAUAACAGAAGUUGAUGAAAAGCCUAGUAGACCCAGCACAAAGAGCUUACCCUGAGUCAGCGGCGGUGGGAAUGAGGAAGCGUGCACUUUGAGUGCCGAUACCCCCAAGUGAUUAUAGCGCAGCAGCCCAGCCACCCCCUGUUAAAGACCAAUGAAUUCUGAGUCUUCACUUUACUUCUCCACACCACAGAGAUGUGAAAUGGACAACCUUGUUAGGUGACAGAGGAUACUACUGCCCUUCAAUCAGACCACCUGUCAGUGUACAUGCUGCUGUUUUCCUGAGGCUGUGUACAUUCAAGCUGCCAUAUAAGGUUCUUCAGAUCAGUUCUAGUGUUCCAUUAACAGAGAGAACGUGCAGCCUUUCUGGGUUCGUUGCAGCACCGUAGGGGAGACCAGAGAGUUUUGUAACACUAGCUGAAACUACUAUCCGAUAUACUGUAAUCUGCUGACGGGAUGUUGCAUAAUGCCAUGUGUGAAAGGGCUAAGAUCGAGCUGGAUGAUUUACAGUAGGUGAGACAUCUGUUAUUUAAAAAGAGCAGCGUUUGAAGAGCAACGAGAGGGGAGGAAUUGUUAUUCCAUAUUGUUGAGCCACUGACAGAGAGAGCACAGUGUUUUAAAGUACCAGCGCUGAAUGAUAAUGACAGAGGGAGAUAAUGAAGGCAUUUGAUGUGACACGUUCACCAGAGAGAUUCAACAAAGGCAGUCAACUGCACUGACGAACCAUAUUACAGGGAAAAAAAGGAGAGAUGUGUUGCAAGUGGCUCUCUCUGUUGUGUUUCAAGGCCAAACCGAGCUGCAUCUGGCAGUGGGUCUGAAUGCCACCUGCUCCAGCAAGUCCCUGAGCUUUUCCACCAAAACAUGUGACCAUGCAAAUUGGGAACAAAUUAUUCUGUCUGAGAACGGAGCGUUUGCUGCGGCAAAAACGAUCAAGAAAGGACCCUUCUCCCAUUAGACAGCGAAGACAUGCGGUGGCAGCCACCGGUUACCUGGCCUCCCUGUUGACAGGGCUGUUGCUGAUGGCCCCCAGCCCCCCUGGACCCUGGGGAAUGGGCCUCAGAUGCAGAUGAUCACUAUUAGGAGCCGGACAGCCCUCCCCUCAGAGCGAUUAGCAUUCCCCUGGCGUGACCUACAGGUGUAGCCCAGAUUAAGUGAAUAAAUUCAUCGCCCUGAGGAUCACGGGGCCUGACCCCUGCUGCUGGCGCCUGAAUUAGAAUGUGUUUGGAGCUCGCGGGCACAGCGAUGAUUGCAAGCUAAACAUGGAUGGCGGCAAAAAGAGGGGGGAAGGAAUGAUGUCGAUGGCUAAGGUUUAUUUGCAAAACAAACUAACUGUUUCAUUAGAUUUCUCACCCAUCCGAGUAAGAAUUGACUACAUCUUUUAUUUUGCCGGUGUGUUUGAGCUUCUUAGGGAAGGGGGGUUUCAGGUAAUUCAGGCUCAUGUUUUGUUUCCUGUAAUUUAAUCUGAAACUAGCUUGUUUUUCUUUCCCCAUCGGACUUGCCUGUUCUGUUGACAUUUUUCCUGUUAUUUGUAUACUGCAAAGUGGUCCAUUUUUCCCCCAUCAAAACCGCUUUUCUCAGUAUGUAUCAGGAUGUCUUUUGAAUUUACCUUCAGCUCCUGUCAGACUUUAGAACAGGGCGCAUGUACACAGAUGAGGGAAAGAUUCCUUUGUGCCCUGAGCAUUUUCGUGAAGGCAGAGCCUGGCUCAAAGGCUGUCAGCACAAACACUGCUGGUUUGCUCUCAGUUGCACUCCCUGUAAAGGUUGAGCAGUUGAAACACACAUGGGUUAACACCAUGCUCAUUAUAUACUUUUUCAUCUCAGUGUUGAUCUUAUUCAGACAAAAAUAGCCAAGGAAAAGAAAGCAAUCACAGUGUUCCCAAAACAGUGGAAUGGGGCUGAAGUAGGGCUAUCACAAUGAAACAUUUUAUGAUUCUCAAUUUCAGUAGCACAGCGAAAAAAAUAUGAUAGAUAGAUAUAUAGAUAUUACAUAGUAGUUACAUGAAUAUUACAUAGUAAUUACGUAAAUCUUACAUAGUAAUUACAUAUAUAUCACUUUUUAAAAAUAAUAUUUUUAUUCAGCAAGAUGCUUUAAAUUGAUCAAAAGUGAUUGGUUUCCACAAAAAUAUUAAUAAAAAUAUUUUAACAUUAUAAUAAGAUAAUAAUAAAAAUAAUAAAUAUUUUUUGAGCACCAAAGCAUGUGACACUGAAGACUUGAGUAAUGGAUGCUGAGAAUUCAUCAUUGUCAUCACAGGAAUAAAUUCGUUGUUUUUAAAUAAAUUUAAAUAGAAAACCCUUGUUUUCAGUUGUUAUAAUAUUUUACAAUAUUUUGGGUUU